AGUGCUGGAAAUGACACAAAUUAGUAUUAAAUUUGGAUAGACUCUUAUAUACUCCCUCGGAUUAGUAUUUUUAUUGGUAUUAGAUGAUAAAAUAUGAAUAAUACUUUAUAUGUGACUAUUUUUUUAAAUUUUUUUAUAAAUUUUUUAAAUAAGACGGACGGUCAAACGUUGGACAUGGAUAUCCACGACUGCACUUAUU
rfam:Oryza sativa Japonica Group DNA, chromosome 5, cultivar: Nipponbare, complete sequence.